GACGAACGCUGGCGGCGUGGAUUAGGCAUGCAAGUCGAACGGUAUCAUCCUUUCGGGGGUGAGAGAGCGGCGAACUGGUGAGUAACACGUAGGUUAUCUACCCUCAAGACGGGGACAACCCAGGGAAACUUGGGCUAAUACCGGAUGUGAGCAACUUUUAGUUGUUUGAAAGGUGGCGUAAGCUGUCGCUUGGGGAUGAGCCUGCGUCCUAUUAGUUAGUUGGUGAGGUAACGGCUCACCUAGGCAAUGAUAGGUAGGCGGCCUUAACGGGUGGUCGCCCACACUGGGAUUGAGAUACGGCCCAGACUCCUACGGGAGGCAGCAGUCGAGAAUAGUCUACAAUGGUCGGAAGACUGAUAGUGCGACGCCGCGUGAACGAUGAAUCCCUUCGGGGUGUAAAGUUCUUUUAUAUGUGAGCAGUGCUUCUUAUAUUAACAGUAUGGGGAGAGAGAUAUUAGCAUAUGAAUAAGCAACGGCUAACUCCGUGCCAGCAGCCGCGGUAAACU
rnacentral:rRNA from 1 species